UGUUUAAUCUACAGCUUGGUUGCUCCGACGCUGCAUUAAUGUUGAUUCCUCUUGCUUUGCUGUUUCAUUUGUAGAUUGUUUCUCCAGUCGAGUUCCUUCAUUUUUUUAUUUCCCUACUAUUUUUUUGCCACUUACUGAGAGAGAACAUACUAAUACCCUUUGAUCUGCGGCUUGAGAACUUCAGCCUUUGGCCAAGACUUCCGUUGCUUCAUAUGCGACUGUUUUUUACAGCUUCACUUCUAAUUUUUUUUACCAACUCAAAUGUUUUUCUUUGCUGCGCUGUCUGAAAGAAAGGUGCCUAACAGGCUGUUAACCUGAGGAGCUCCUCCACUUGGUCGGGAUCCCUACCUUCCGCUAUGUCUGUUUAUCCAAGUUUGUUUCUGUUCUUAUCUUCCUGCUCAUCUCUUUGGUUUUCAUUAUUGGGGGGCAGUAAUCCAAUUCUUUAGCAUCCCUUAAUUUUCUUUGCUGUCUUCUGACUCUGAUUGAUUUUCUUCUCCUGCAAAUUGGAGUCCCUUUUCCUGAACAGAGUUUCUCAUUUGCAAGAAGAAGGAUUUAGACCCGGAGCAAUACCUCAAUAAAGGCCAGCAAGUCACUUGCUGUGUGACCUUGGAAUGAGAGCGCCUGACCACCAAGCACAACCGUGAAAGAUGAGCUGCUAAAUUUUUUAUUUUCCUUUAGCAGCAAGCAAAAAACUGUGUUUUUAUGUGAUCGUUUUUAAAUAUUUGCUUCUUGGCUUGAAAUCAUGGUUGAACCAACCUAAAGCUGCUGUGUUAUAUUUAUAAUGCUUCCUACAAAAAAUGCUACUGAAUUUUUGUACGAGUCUUCAAACGGAAUGGGAUUAAAGUAUAUAUUAUUAUAAGAUUAAGUUUUCGAAGCC